rnacentral:lncRNA from 1 species
GAAAUAUGAGGUCUUUGGCUCCUUUCCCAGAACUGCCAGGCUAAGACCUUGGCAGAGACUCAACAGGAAACUGAACACUAUUUGCAUAUCCUUUUAUACAUGGGAGAUUAAAAGCUUCAACCUUGAGUGAUCACAGUUUUUAAGAAUCAUGAUGAGGCAUUAAAGAGAAGGAGGAGCGUCUCAAGGGAGGUGAGCUGGAGGCGAAGCAAGACUGCAAGCUCUUCUUAGCAGGUGGAAGUUUCCCCGGAUCUCAGAGAGUUUCUUUCCAGCAUGUGAUUUGGCACAGGGGCAGUACGUUGAAAAGAAGAGUAGGCAAGAAACCUUGAGUCUGGAGUCUCUUCAGUUUGUUGGCACGGAAGAGGAAGAGUUAUCAGCCAGCACUUCCUGUCUGAGAUGCCACAGCAGGCUAAGACCCUACCUAAAGCCUGAAUUCACUGAAGUGCUUUCUGGUGUCAGUUUGCUCAUUGUGAAUGCAGAGAAUCGGAAAUGACAGAUCUUGAGCCCCUUUGCUCUCUUCGUAUGACGGAUAAUAAGUCAAUAAAAAUGGAAGAGACAAACUCAUACUUUGCCACACAGUAGAGAUAUCUGUAGAUGGUAAAUUUAGCCGUCCUGUGGAUCUGCCAGAGACCCAUAGAAUUUCUCAGGUUCUCUUCACAUUAGCCCCAGACCCCUGUAGCUGCCAUUCCAGGCAGACCUGCCGAGAAGGAAAGGAGAAGGCAGUGAGUACGUUAGCACCCCCAGAAACUCUAAAAGAGUCCAACAAGAUAUCACAUUUGACAAACAUCAGAGGGGAGGAAUAAAUAUGUGGUUCAUUUCCUGUGUUGUGGCCUGGGAGAAAAGCUGCUGACCUAGGGGUGGGGCUCAGGAGCACAAGUGCUAUCUCCCCUGGAUAGUAGCUGUCUUCCUUCAGAGGGAAGGGGGAGGUGCGAGGUAUCUCAGGAGAACAGCCUGGAAGCUGAAAUUGCAGCUGGUGUU